UAACACCUGGAAACAGAUGCUAAUACCGGAUAACAACAGAUGAUGCCUAUCAACUGUUUAAAAGAUGGUUCUGCUAUCACUCUUGGAUGGACCUGCGGUGCAUUAGCUAGUUGGUAGGGUAACGGCCUACCAAGGCGAUGAUGCAUAGCCGAGUUGAGAGACUGAUCGGCCACAUUGGGACUGAGACACGGCCCAAACUCCUACGGGAGGCAGCAGCG
rnacentral:rRNA from 1 species